UACGGAGGAUGCAAGCGUUAUCCGGAUUUAUUGGGCGUAAAGCGUCCGCAGGUGGCUUUUCAAGUCUGCUGUUAAAGCGUGGAGCUUAACUCCAUACAGGCAGUGGAAACUGGGAGGCUAGAGUCUGGUAGGGGUCACGGGAAUUCCCAGUGUAGCGGUGAAAUGCGUAGAUAUUGGGAAGAACGCCAGCGGCGAAAGCGCGUGACUGGGCCGGAACUGACACUAAUGGACGAAAGCUAGGGGAGCGAAAGGG
rnacentral:rRNA from 1 species